rnacentral:rRNA from 1 species
UACGAAGGGGGCUAGCGUUGCUCGGAAUCACUGGGCGUAAAGCGCACGUAGGCGGCUUUCUAAGUCAGGGGUGAAAUCCUGGAGCUCAACUCCAGAACUGCCUUUGAUACUGGAGAGCUAGAGUCCGGAAGAGGUGAGUGGAACUGCGAGUGUAGAAGGUGAAAUUCGUAGAUAUUCGCAAGAACACCAGUGGCGAAGGCGGCUCACUGGUCCGGUACUGACGCUGAGGUGCGAAAGCGUGGGGAGCAAACAGG